UGGACCAAAGGGGCUAAUGUGUCACGAACCAAAGAUUAUGAUUAAUCCAAUUCUGUGAAACUAAGAUCCAAU
rnacentral:snoRNA from 1 species